UACGUAGGGUCCGAGCGUUGUCCGGAAUUACUGGGCGUAAAGAGCUCGUAGGUGGUUUGUCGCGUUGUUCGUGAAAACUCACAGCUCAACUGUGGGCGUGCGGGCGAUACGGGCAGACUAGAGUACUGUAGGGGAGACUGGAAUUCCUGGUGUAGCGGUGGAAUGCGCAGAUAUCAGGAGGAACACCGGUGGCGAAGGCGGGUCUCGUGGGCAGUAACUGACGCUGAGGAGCGAAAGCGUGGGGAGCGAACAGG
rnacentral:rRNA from 1 species